GACGAACGCUGGCGGCGUGCUUAACACAUGCAAGUCGAGCGAGGCCCUCCUUCGGGGGGUGUCCUAGCGGCGAACGGGUGAGUAACACGUGGGCAACCUGCCCCCGGCUCGGGGAUAGCCCCAAGAAAUUGGGGCUAAUACCGGAUACGACCGCUGACCGCAUGGUCUGGUGGGGGAAAGAUUUAUCGGCUGGGGAUGGGCCCGCGGCCUAUCAGCUUGUUGGUGGGGUAGUGGCCUACCAAGGCGACGACGGGUAGCCGGCCUGAGAGGGUGACCGGCCACACUGGGACUGAGACACGGCCCAGACUCCUACGGGAGGCAGCAGUGGGGAAUAUUGCGCAAUGGGCGAAAGCCUGACGCAGCGACGCCGCGUGGGGGAUGACGGCCUUCGGGUUGUAAACCUCUUUCAGCAGGGACGAAGCGCAAGUGACGGUACCUGCAGAAGAAGCACCGGCCAACUACGUGCCAGCCGCCGCUGUAAGAC
rnacentral:rRNA from 1 species